GCUUCUAGAUGGACCCGCCUAGCAUUAGCUAGUUGGAGAGCCAAGGGGUCACCAAUGCCGCGACGCGUAGACGACCUCCGAGGGUGAUCGGCCACACUGGGACUGAGACACGGCCCAGACUCCUACGGGAGGCAGCAUUAGGGAAUCUUCCGCAAUGGACGAAAGUCUGACGGAGCAACGCCGCGUGAGUGAUGAAGGUUUUCGGAUCGUAAAGCUCUGUUGUUAGGGAAGAACAAGUACCGUUCGAAUAGGGCGGUACCUUGACGGUACCUAACCAGAAAGCCACGGCUAACUACGUGCCAGCAUCCGCGGGAAUACGUAGGUGGGAGGGGUUGUCCGGAAUUAUUGGGCGUAAAGGGCUCGCAGGCGGUUUCUUAAGUCUGAUGUGAAAGCCCCCGGCUCAACCGGGGAGGGUCAUUGGAAACUGGGGAACUUGAGUGCGGAAGAGGAGAGUGGAAUUCACGUGUAGCGGUGAAUGCGUAGAGAUGUGGAGGACACCAGUGGCGAAGGCGACUUCUGGACUGUAAUGACGCUGAGGAGCGAAAGCGUGGGGAGCAAACAGGAUUAUAUACCCUGGUAUUCCACGCCGCAACGAUGAGUGCUAAGUGUUAGGGGGUUCGGCCGCAUAUAGCUGCAGCUAACGCAUUAAUGCACUCGGCCUGGGGAGUACGGACGCCAGACUGAAACUCAAAGGGAUCGACGGGGGGCCGGGACAACGUGGAUGCAUGUGGUGUAAUUCGAAGCAACCGGCAAAGAACCUAACCAAGACUCUUGAAACUCUCUCCUGACAAUUCUCU
rnacentral:rRNA from 1 species